ACUCACCGUGCGCCCAAUCUGGCUGCUCCACGGCUCGGUUCCCUCCUUGCCUUCGGCCUCUUUGCUGGAACUUUCACGCAGCGUCUCUGGCUUUGGCUGCGUCACGGUGAGCUCUAUCAGCUAUCAAUCAUCCUCUCCUCUGAAUCUGGAAACAAUGGAGAAUCACAUUCAAGAACAUCCCUGGCCGACUCGGCUCUGGAAGCCCCACUCUGUCAACUAAUGACACCCUGUGCUUGCAGCUUCUGCCCGCGACUUCUACUCCAAGUUCACUAACCACUCCCAGCUACAGUCCUAGGAUGUCUCUGGUAGAGGAGGACUAUUGAUACCCGAUGAACUGUAGACUGACACAGCAAGGCAGGCCGGGAAGAUAACUCAGUUGGGUUCAAGGCCCAGAACCCACAUGGGGUCAGGCAUAGCAGCACACAUGUGUGGUCUUAGUGUUCCUGUGGUGAGAGGAGAGGCAAAAACAGGAAUUCCCCAGUCCUCUGCCCACUCCAUGCAUUCCAUGGAGUGCAUGUAUCCGCACUCACAUACAGGAAAAAUAUCCACACAUGCACAGUAACGUGCCAUGGGCUAGGGAUGUGGCUUAGCUGGCAGAGUGCUUGCGUAGUGUGCAUGAAGCCCUGGGUUCCAUUCCGAGCACUGAAUACACUGGACAUGGUGUUCAGGUGGUGCAGGUGGGAGGAUCAGGAGUUCGAGGCCAUCCUCUGCUGAGUAGGAAGUUCCAGGCUACAAGGAGAGUCUCAAAAACAAGAUCUGUCAUAGCAGUGGGUGCCAGGGUGGGGGUGGAGGACAGGUGAACAGUUCGUGGUGUCUCUUGUAUCUGCUCUAUGUGAAUGCUGUCAUUCCUGGAAAUAAUUAGAUCACAAGGCCCCUGAGGAUGGGGACUGUACCCUUGAA